GCGGGGCAUAGGAGUGUCAUGGUCGUCAUGGAUCAGGAAGCAGCAGCUUGCGUGAGGAGGGGAGCAGCGGCAGGUCGGCGUGGGGUGGGGCAAACGGUGGUGCGGGUGACGAGCAGAGGCGGGCGUAGGAUUUGGAUCAUGGGUAUUCAAAAUUCCAUAUGGCAAAAAAAAUUGACAGCCUAAAUUAUAGUUUCAUAACACAGAAUUAAGUGGCAGCAUCAUUGAUUAAUAAAAGUGAUCAUAACUUGAAAUUGUCCAACUACUAAUCAACAUAUGAAAGUGGCAACAUGUGAUAUAAAUAGAGGAUAAAACAGCAAAAGGUAACAAAGCUUACAAGCUACAGAACAACUUUCCGAUCCUUAAUGCUUUGAUAAUGAGUGAUGAUAUCUUGAUCCUUAGCUUGC
rnacentral:lncRNA from 1 species